GACGAACGCUGGCGGCGUGCUUAACACAUGCAAGUCGAACGGAAAGGCCCUGCUUUUGUGGGGUGCUCGAGUGGCGAACGGGUGAGUAACACGUGAGUAACCUGCCCUUGACUUUGGGAUAACUCCAGGAAACUGGGGCUAAUACCGGAUAGGAGCUCCUGCUGCAUGGUGGGGGUUGGAAAGUUUCGGCGGUUGGGGAUGGACUCGCGGCUUAUCAGCUUGUUGGUGGGGUAGUGGCUGACCAAGGCUUUGACGGGUAGCCGGCCUGAGAGGGUGACCGGCCACAUUGGGACUGAGAUACGGACCAGACGCCUACGGGAGGCAGCAGUGGGGAAUAUUGCACAAUGGGCGGAAGCCUGAUGCAGCGACGCCGCGUGCGGGAUGACGGCCUUCGGGUUGUAAACCGCUUUCGCCUGUGACGAAGCGUGAGUGACGGUAAUGGGUAAAGAAGCACCGGCUAACUACGUG
rnacentral:rRNA from 1 species